GAUGAACGCUGGCGGCGUGCCUAAUACAUGCAAGUCGAGCGAAGCGGGGACGGGUGAGUAACACGUGGAUAAACUCCUAUACGACUGGGAUAACUUCGGGAAACCGGAGCUAAACCGUAUAAUUCUAGGUGGAUACGCGCUGCAUUAGCUAGUUGGAAAGGUAACGGCUUACAAAGGCAACGAUGAAUAGCAGACCUGAGAGGGUGAGCGGCCACACUGGAACUGAGACACGGUCCAGACUCCUACGGGAGGCAGCAGUAGGUAAUCUGCCGCAAUGGGCGAAAGCCUGACGGAGCAACGCCGCGUGAGUGAUGAAGGUCUGCGGAUCGUAAAACUCUGUUAUUAGGGAAGCGGAACCUAAUCAGAAAGCCACGGCUAACUACGUGCCAGCAGCCGCGGUAAUUC
rnacentral:rRNA from 1 species